CCUACGGGUGGCAGCAGUGAGGAAUAUUGGUCAAUGGACGCAAGUCUGAACCAGCCAUGCCGCGUGAAGGAUGACGGCCCUAUGGGUUGUAAACUUCUUUUGUAUGAGGGUAAACGUCAAUAUGCGUACUGUUUUGAAUGUACCAUAUGAAUAAGGAUCGGCUAACUCCGUGCCAGCAGCCGCGGUAAUACGGAGGAUUCAAGCGUUAUCCGGAUUUAUUGGGUUUAAAGGGUGCGUAGGCGGUCGGUUAAGUCAGAUGUGAAAUCCCGAGGCUCAACCUCGUAAUUGCCUGUGAUACUGUGCGUCUAGAGUGUAGCAGAGGUAGGCGGAAUGUGUGGUGUAGCGGUGAAAUGCUUAGAGAUCACGCAGAACACCGAUUGCGAAGGCAGCUUACCGGGCUGUUACUGACGUUGAUGCACGAAAGCGUGGGGAGCAAACAGGAUUAGAUACCCGAGUAGUC
rnacentral:rRNA from 1 species